rnacentral:lncRNA from 1 species
AGGCUAGUUAAUGGAGACAGAAUCUUAAACUUGAUCCAAUAGGUGAUACGGUACCAAUAUAGUUUUAAGUCAGGGAAAUGGUAUGAUGAAAAUGAUGUUUUUGGAAGAUUCAUCUAGCAGAGGUGACAGGAUUGAUUUAAAGAAGCUGAAGAAAAAUACUAAGGAGGUUGAAUUGAGAGACCAGGUCCAAGAAUAGAUCUGAAAGAUUUAAAACAAGUCUUCUUAAAAUGGGAGACUCAGGCUUUUUUGACAGCAUAGGAGAUGGAAGUGGUAAAAAGGGCAAGUAAGAGAAGGCUGAGGAAAAUUAUAAUAAAUGCAGGAUUAAGUUUAUUCAGAAAGUAGGCUAUAACAGGAUUCAGGGCUCUUGUUUGAAGUGGAGAGGACAUAAAAAGAAAGACAAUUCUUCCCUUAAAAGUGUUGUACAAACCAAUGAUAUUUUGCACUGUAGAGGUGCAUUCUCUCAAGUUUCUCUUGUCCAGUAUGAAAUAUAGUGGAGUUACACUUUAUGUUAUUAUUCUUAGAUCUCAUUCCUAAGAGCUAAAGUAAAUUGAAAGUUGGUUGAAAAAUUACUAAGUGAACUAUGGCAAUACUUCCAUCUCCUUUCUAAAAGCAUACAUAUUUUGGUUUGAAUUAUUUACGAAGUUAUAAAGCCAAACAUAUUUAUGUUUUCCUUAUUUUGACAUAUGGUUUACAUUUUGAAAACUUUGCUCCAGGAUGGCAUUGGAUAAAAUUAUGAUGAUAAAAUUGGGCACAACAAAAGCAAAAUCACAAAAUUUGAAACAGUAAUAGACUUUAUAAAUCAUAUAAUUACAUAGGUAGAAAAACAAUAUUUAUUGACUAUCAGGUGUCAAACCUGUUGAAGGCAUUGAAUUCAUUUAUAUAAAAAAAGAGGAGUGAAAGAAAAAUUAUUUUCUAUAGUCUGGUAGAGGAAAUGGUCAUUAAAAAUAAACACAAAUAUAAUUAUACAUUUUGAAAAGUACUUGUUAUGAAUUGUAUACUCUCCAAAAAUUCCUAUGUUAAAGUCCUAACCCCCAAUACUACAGGAUGUGAUCUUAUUUGCAUAUAGGUUUGUUGCAGCUAUAAGUAGCAAAUUUAAGAUAAGGGUACACUGGAGUAAGCUGAUCCCCUAAUCCACUACAACUGGUGUCCUUAUAGAAGGGGAAAAGUGGAUACAGAUAUGAACACAGGGAGACUGCCAUGCCGAUAUGAAGACAUAUCAGGGUAAUGACAAUGAUUUUUUGCAAACUACUAGAAGCUAGAAGAAAGGCAUGGAACAGUCUUCCUCACUCUCAGUAGGAACCAACUCUGAUGACACCUUGAUCUCAGAAUUCUAGCCUUUAGAUCAGUGAAACAAGAUAUUCCUAGUCACCUGGUUUGUGGUAUUUUGUUUAUAGCAACCCUACCAAAAUAAUAGAUAUUUACAAAGGAGAAUUAUUGGUGACACUGAAAGUGAAUAAGGGGGAGGAGGCUUAUUUUCAAUUGGAUGGACAAUAGAGACCUCUUUUAGAAGUUAUAUUUAGCCUGAUACUUGAAAGAUGAGAGUGAACAUCUAUGUGAGGCAAUGGAGGAAGAGUGAUCUGAGCAGCAGGAAGAGAACAUGUGCACAGGCCCUGAGAUAGGCACAAGCAAGGAAGUGAAAAAAGACCAGUUUGUCAGGAGGUUGGCCUGUGAAGGCAAGUGUGGCACAGGAUGAGACUAAAUAAAUUCCUUGGUAAGGACUUUGGAUUUUAUUCAAAGAGUAAUAAUGAGACUUUCAUGGCUUUAAGCCUUUAAAAAUAAAUUCUAAAUACUAUGUAGAAAAUGAAUGGUAUGGUAAGGGAAGUGGAGCAUGAGAACACCAAACCAGGUAUUCAAGCUUGGAAUAAGCUUCUGGUAAGAGACUACAGAUAAUUUGAGAAAAUACUUAAUGUUGGGAGUUAGGGAGAGUGUGUCAUAAAGAAUUACUCUAAAUUUUUCAUCUUGAGCUAUUGAGUGUUACUUAAUGAGAUAUUAUUUGGUGAGAUAGAAAAGGUCAGGGAAGAACAGAAUGAGGCAUAUUAGAACAAGAGUUCAAUUCUGGAUAUGUUAAAGCUGAGAUGCCUGUGAGAUAGCCAAGUAGAGAAGCUAAGUGAGAACUUUGUUGGACCAAAGAAAGGUCUAAUAAGGAAGUGGAGAAAUGGAAACUAAUCGAAGUAUGCAGUGACCACAGAGUACUUAACACUGAUAGUACUGCUGAAGUCUCCUGAUUCCCAGUCCUGUGUCCUGGCAAUGCCCACCCAAUGCUAUUAGAGGACCAUUUGAUUAGAAAGUAAGGGGGUACUUUUGUGGAUCAUAUGGGGAAUAAAUGCACAAGCACCUGUGUAGCAAACAAAAAGACAUAGAUGGAUGAAGAUUGGUGACAAAAUGUCAAGGGCACAGGAAUGAGUUCCAGAAGGCUUGGAAUCUACAUAAAGCCUUGUUAUAUAUUGGUUAAUUGUGCCUCAGAAAAGUGAAUUCAAGGCCUCAAAUGAUCUCUCUAAGAUACCCAGUUUUAAAAGUAGAUGACUCGCCAGCAAUUGCACUUCUGGUUACAUAGCCUAAAAAUAUUCUUCUGCAUGUGCCGUGGGAGAUACGAUAGGGAUCCUCACUAAAAACACUGUCAAAAACAGCAAAUUUAAAGGAACUUAGGUAUCCACCUAUAGAAAUGAAUAUAUUAAAAUAUGCUAUGUUUAUACAACAGAAUGUUAUUUAGCUGUUCAAACGAAUGAACUAGAGCUCUCUAUAUAAACAAAAGAUCACAAAUAUAGAGUGUUGGAUAUAAAAAUAGUAGGCGUUAGAAUGAUAUUUGAAAUAAUAUACCUGUUAUAGAGGCACACAUAGGUAAAAAUGUAAACAGGAAGGAUGCAAUUCUGGUUAAUUAUUAGAGGGAGAAGGAAACAAAACAGAUGGGCUAUAAAGAAAGCUUCAAGUCAGUGUUUUAUAUAGAAGUAUAUCUGAACUGCAUAUAACAGGUUAAAAAGGAGUUCAUUAUAUUAUUCUUCAUAUAUUAUAUUAAAUUAACUUUAUGACUCUACAAGUUAAAAUGGCUUAUUUUAAUUUUUAUCAUGAAAAGUAAGUCUCAUUUCAAUACAUUAUAUAUUUUAAUACACCAUUAACAUCCUAGAAUUACAUUUUAUAACAUGUUUUUAUUUUUCCCUUUUUAAAUUUACGCUCUCAGUUUCAGUUGUGUUAGGCACCUUCACAUCCAGUGAUAAUACUUUUGAAAGGAGGCACUGUAAGUCCAAUUUUACAAACAAUGCAUUUAAUGUUCCCAGAAGUUGAAAAUAUGCCCAAAGUCAAAUACCUGGUAAGUACAAGAGAUAAAAUUUGAAUUUGCAUUAUUUUACUGUAGGUCCUAUUUUUUCUAUUGCACCAUUGCUGACAAACCUCCAAGCUGUGAAUACUGCAUGUAUUCACCUUAUAAUCCUGAAAGUUGGUGUUUCAUUUAGUUAAUAUAUAGUUUAAAUACACUGAACACAGCAGUCACAUAUUUUGCACAUAAAUGCUGUGAAAAUUCUAGAAAUACACAUUAGAAAAUGAAAGAAUGUUAAGUAAUGUUAGGAUUUCAGACUUGUUAAUGGAAUUAUUCUUUUUGAUCAUAGGAAAUCUGGAUCCUAUGUUAUGCUUUUGUUGUUUUUUUUUUUCCUGAAUAUAUCUAUAGCUAUUACAGUUUUGUUCAUCUUUUUGGAAAUAGUAAUAUGUUGUUAUUUUUUAAUGUUAAAACAAAGAUUUUGCUGUAUUUAAGAACAGAGGGGUUUCAAUGUUAUGGAGUAUGUAACUUCACUGUUUGACUUUCUAAGAAAAGAAAGUAUAAGACAACUUCAAGAAAAAUCUACUACAAGUGUAUUUGACAAGAAGUCCAUAAUUGUAACUUUACAGUCAUUUAAAUGUUUUCUUUCUUUCUUGUCUUCUCAGCCUAUUGUCCCAGUUCCUCAUCUUACAGUUUUUGUUAUACUUGAGUGAUGAGCUCAAACCAUGAAAAGCUGUUGUUUUCAACCUUUAUUAAUGUUUCCCAACUCAUUUCCCUGUGUGCCUGCUGACAGCCUGCCAAAAUCACCCUCUGGUGAAUUGUGAAAAGAUUGGGGUAGCAGUCAUGGGACCCAAAAUGUGCUGCAGAUAAUUAGUAGAUCAGAUCUUUGUCACAGCAGAUACUUGGCUACCCACACAUCUCUAUUUUUAAGCCUUGUAUGUCAGGCAAUGUGUAUUCAUUGUCUGUUUUAGUGUGAAGAGCACAUCUCUGCGUUGUGUAUAAUAGAGCUGAGUUGAAUGAGAAAUUCCAUUAUUCUUUUGUCAUUUUGUACUGUCAGUGGUUAACACAUGAGAUAGACAUAUUUGGUGAAUAACUGAAACCACCUUUGGCUUUUAAAUAGUUUUGGAAAUAGGAAUUACCUAUUUUGCUACUUACUGAAUAAUCCAGUCACCAAAGUCUUUGUUGUCCAAUAAGGCAGGAGACAAACAUCUCCUUAGAUGAUCACAUUUGUUUUCAUGUUAAUUAGUUCUGACUAAUUUGUUUGGCAAGAGUAGUGGGUCAGGAGAUUAGUUCUUGAAUGGCACAAAAUAGGAAAGCUGUUUUAGUGUAAGGUAAGAGGUGAUAAGUUGAAGUAAAAAGAAGAAAUUAGGUUUGGGGAUGAUGAAAAUGCCAGGGUUAUCAGCAGGCUUUCACCAGAAUCGAUUACAGAGCAGCAGGUAAUGAAUUAUUAUCUGGUGAUAUGCCUCCUUUAAAAUACUAUCUAAUGGUACAGCCUCUGCACAUAUGUGGAGCGUGUGUGUGUGUGCAUUUGUAGUCAACAGAUGCACUCAACAUUUUUCCCAUUUUAUUCUACCCGUACUUCUUUAUAUGUCAACCUGUGUUUCAUUAUCAAAGGAAAUUCAUCAGUUUACACAUUGUCAUUGGUCUGAAAACAUGAGUGUUAUGUAGUCACAAUAAAAUGCACUCUAGUUACUAUAACAUUAUAACCAGAAAUGACUUCUUAAAAGAGUAAUAACAUCAAAAUUAAUCUUAAAACCUAACAAAGUAGGAAAGAUCAUGCUUCCUUCUAUAAUUAAGAAGGUUAACCUGGAGAAGUCAUACAAACUCUAAAGUUAUAGAUUAACUGUAAAAUGUGCACAAAACAACUGUUCUUCCUAUCUAACAAGAUUCUUAUUAGGUAUAAUUGAAUUGAUAUACAGAAAAUCCCUUUGAAAUUUCUUAGAUGUUUUUCAAGUGUAAGGUUAUUAAUAAUAACCUAAAUAUUGGCUCUGGUUGAUUCUUUGCUAAAUAUACAUUUAUUCAUUUUCCAAAAAUUAAUAAAUAUUUACCGUAUUUCAAAUAUGUACUAUUCUAGGUACUGAAAAGAUAGCAAUAAACAAAACAGAUGAUAAUUCCUGUCCUCAUAGAUCUUAAACUUCAGUGAGGUCUGAAACUUCAGUAAAUUGAAAUAACAAUAAUAGGUAAAAGUUCAAAUAUAUCAAUUGGUGGUAAGUGCUUUGAAGUGAAAUAAGACAAAAGGAUCUUUUAAAAAUGAGUAAUUUGUGGAGUUCCCUUUGGGGCUUAGGUUAAGAAACUGACUAGUAUCCAUGAGGAUGCAAGUUCAAUCCCUGGCCUCACUCAAAGGGUUAAGUAUCUGUUAUUGCUCUGAGCUGUGAUGUAGGUCACAGAUACAGUUCAGAUCUGGAGUUGCUGUGGCUGUAGUGUAGGCCUGCAGCUGUAGCUCUGAUUCAACCUCUAGCCUGGGAACUUCCAUAUGCUGCCGGUGC